GGGUCGAUACAGGCCACACCUAGUUUCCAUCGUUUACCGCUAGGGACUACUGGGGUAUCUAAUCCCAUUCGCUCCCCUAGCUUUCGUCCCUCAGUGUCAGUUAUAGCCCAGCAGAGCGCCUUCGCCACCGGUGUUCUUCCUGAUCUCUACGCAUUUCACCGCUACACCAGGAAUUCCCUCUGCCCCUACUACACUCUAGUCUUCCAGUUUCCACUGCCUUUACGAGGUUAAGCCUCGCUCUUUAACAGCAGACUUGGAUGACUACCUACGGACUCUUUACGCCCAAUCAUUCCGGAUAACGCUUGCAUCCCCCGUAUUACCGCGGCUGCUGGCACGGANUUAGCCGAUGCUUUUUCCUCAGGUACCGUCAUUGUGUUCUUCCCUGAGAAAAGGGGUUGANAAUCCAAGAACUUCCUCCCCCA
rnacentral:rRNA from 1 species